rnacentral:rRNA from 1 species
CUGCGAGUUAACUCCCAACCCCUGUGACAUACCUUACUGUUGCCUCGGCGGAUCAGCCCGCUCCCGGUAAAACGGGACGGCCCGCCAGAGGACCCCUAAACUCUGUUUCUAUAUGUAACUUCUGAGUAAAACCAUAAAUAAAUCAAAACUUUCAACAACGGAUCUCUUGGUUCUGGCAUCGAUGAAGAACGCAGCAAAAUGCGAUAAGUAAUGUGAAUUGCAGAAUUCAGUGAAUCAUCGAAUCUUUGAACGCACAUUGCGCCCGCCAGUAUUCUGGCGGGCAUGCCUGUUCGAGCGUCAUUUCAACCCUCAAGCCCUCGGGUUUGGUGUUGGGGAUCGGCGAGCCUUUCUGGCAAGCCGGCCCCGAAAUCUAGUGGCGGUCUCGCUGCAGCCUCCAUUGCGUAGUAGUAAAACCCUCGCAACUGGAACGCGGCGCGGCCAAGCCGUUAAACCCCCAACUUCUGAAUGUUGACCUCGGAUCAGGUAGGAAUACCCGCUGAACUUAAGCAUAUCAAUAAGGCCGGAGGAACG